rfam:Schistosoma curassoni strain Dakar, Senegal genome assembly, scaffold: SCTD_scaffold0003842
GUCCAGCUAACGAGUCCGAAAUAGGACGAAAUGCGCGUCCUGGAU